GACGAACGCUGGCGGCGUGCCUAAUACAUGCAAGUAGAGCGCUGAAGAGAGGAGCUUGCUCUUCUUGGAUGAGUUGCGAACGGGUGAGUAACGCGUAGGUAACCUGCCUUGUAGCGGGGGAUAACUAUUGGAAACGAUAGCUAAUACCGCAUAACAAUGGAUGACACAUGUCAUUUAUUUGAAAGGGGCAAUUGCUCCACUACAAGAUGGACCUGCGUUGUAUUAGCUAGUAGGUGAGGCAAUGGCUCACCUAGGCGACGAUACAUAGCCGACCUGAGAGGGUGAUCGGCCACACUGGGACUGAGACACGGCCCAGACUCCUACGGGAGGCAGCAGUAGGGAAUCUUCGGCAAUGGGGGCAACCCUGACCGAGCAACGCCGCGUGAGUGAAGAAGGUUGUCGGAUCGUAAAGCUCUGUUGUAAGUCAAGAACGGGUGUGAGAGUGGAAAGUUCACACUGUGACGGUAGCUUACCAGAAAGGGACGGCUAACUACGUG
rnacentral:rRNA from 1 species